UAUAUGAAUCUAGGCACUCUGAAUGCACACAGGAAGAAUUAUGCCAUGGUUCAGGAGUAUACGGAGAAAGCUCUUCACAUAUACAAGAUCAACCAGUUUCACCAAGAUAAUCAGUCAUACUGGUUUUGUAAGGAGAAUAUGGCAAACUGCCUGCUGAGACAGAACAAGAUCAAGGAAGCUGAACCGUACUUCUGGGAUGUCUUUGAUGUCCAAGCGAGGCUUGG